CUUCCCUAUCCCUGUCACAGCCAUGGUGACAGCCUCCACCCAACUGGCACUCCUCCCAGGGUCCCGCCGGCCCAGCUGUGCCGGCACUCACCCAGCUGGUUGGAGAGCGGCAGUGUGAAAGUGGACUGCUUCAGUGGGGCUUCCAGCAAGGCCCUGGGGCGGGACCCCCUCCCUGGAGGCUCCCUGUCCGGCUGCGGGAUAGGCAGGUGGCAGAACUUCCCGGUGGAGUUGGCGGGGCACCAGCAUUCGUCCCUGCCGAUGCAGCGGCCUCCGUUCAGGCAGGGGAUCUGGCAGAAAUCUGCAACAUCAACCCUCAAGUCUCAGGUUGUGGGACAUCAAGAGAAGGGUCUGGUGCCAUGUUUGCCCCAGGCUGGUCCAAAGAAGCAGUAUCCCCCCGAUUAAGGACAGUAGAGGUCUGGUAACAGAAGAAGGCAAGUCUCAAUGAGAAGGUGACCACAGCCCCCAGGAGAUGCUCCAUCUACUAUCAGCCUUGGAAGAACCGCUGCAAUUUCAUCAAAGGACAGAGGUUCCCAAACUCACCCAGCACAAGAAUGGAACUUGCUAUCUUUCUGGGACUGUUCCAGGGAAGUCCUGGCCAAGCCUCCACAAUGGACCAAAAAGUCAUCUCUAGACUUCAGGAUUUCAUGAAUCCGUAAGAUUUUGGAACAAAAUUGGGGGAACAACAUAAAGUCGCUUUUUAUUUAGGUUGCUAAGACUUUAAGACAAACACACACAAAACUGCCAAUCACUACCACCAUAAUUUCACGAAAGAAAAGACAUUUCAGAGCCAAAAAAGAAACGUUUGAAUAAGCCUAACUUCAUGGAAAUCUCACCAAAUGACUUUAUUUUCUUCAUUUCUUUAUGGAUCAUGAAAUCCCCAUCACAGGCCAGCACAGAGCCAAGAGACAGCCACCAGAUCCACCACAGUCUGUUCUCAACUGUGGACUCUGGGCUUUUCAACCAAGAUGAGGAAAAAUUCUCAUCCCAGUGGCCGGGGUCUUCAGGCCCACAAGAAAGCUGCCUGGGCAGUCUGUACCCAUAAUGAUGCCACUUACUGAAAUGUGCAAGGUGUGCCCACACCCUGCCCGACACACUAAGGUUUCCCAACAGCGAUGGGAAGACAAGUGGGCGAGGAGCUCUGUGCCCUCUACCCCAUUCACCCUCACCCUAGCCUGGCUGCUCUCCUCUAUUUACUUCAUAAAUCGGGCUUCCAAAAACAGCUGGCCCAUCAUAUCCAUGGGUUCUGCCUCUGCAGAUUCAACCAACUGUGAAUGGAAAAUAUUUGGGGGGAAAACCCCCAAAAAUAGCAAUCAACAAUGAAAAAUAAUACAAAUAAAAAUUAUAUAGUAUGACAACUAUUAGCAUUUGCACUGUAUUAGGUAUUAUAAGUAAUCUAGAGAAGAUUUAAAGUAUAUGGGAGCAUGUGCGUAGCUUAUAUGCAAACAUUAUGUCAUUUUAUAUCAGAGACUUGAACAUCCAUGAAUUUUGGUAUUCACAGGGGUCCUGGAACAAAUUCCCUGUGGAUAUCGAGGGAUGACUGUACUAUUUUGUUUGGAAAGGCUCUUGCUGCUAAAAAAAAUUUAAGAGUGUUACUAAAGAUGCAUAGAAUAUGCCUGUAAUCCUAGCACUUUGGGAGGCUGAGGCAGGCAGAUCACUUGAGGUCAGGAGUUCGAG
rnacentral:lncRNA from 10 species